rnacentral:rRNA from 1 species
GUUUCGUUUGCUUAGCCUACUCUUUCACCUCACCGUGCGGGGUACGCAGGCACGCGGCUGUCCCCGUCCGCGUGGCCUCCAACUCGACUCGUUCCCUUUCCUUCCUUCUUCCCCUCGUCUCCCCAACCAGAAACCUAAACAGAAUCCCAACCCACCCCCGCAGCCAAUCCCACCGGACGCCAGUCAGCCAACCCCAAUCUCGACUCCUCCGCCGCCUGAAUCCGGUUCCGAGUCCAUAUUUGAGGUGCCACCAUGUUCAACAGGUUAUUUGGGAAGCCCAAGGAGCAGGCCAACGCCGGCGCGUUGGCCACUUUGGAUAAGUUAAACGAGACUCUUGAUAUGCUGGAGAAGAAAGAGAAAGUGUUAGAGAAAAAAGCAGGCGCUGAGCUUGAGAGGGCCAAGGAAUUCUCAAAAGCAAAGAAUANNNNAGCGGCUAUCCAAUCAUUGAAGAGGAAAAAACUUUAUGAGCAGCAAAUUGAGCAGCUUGGGAAUUUCCAGUUGAGAAUCCAUGAUCAGAUGAUCAUGUUAGAAGCUGCUAAAGCUACAACAGAGACUGUUGAUGCAUUGAGGACUGGAGCUAAAGCUAUGAAAGCGAUGCAAAAAGCAACAAAUAUCGAUGAUGUCGACAAGACUAUGGACGAAAUUAAUGAACAGACAGAAAACAUGAAACAAAUACAAGAUGCUCUGUCAGCUCCUCUUGGAGCUUCUGCUGAUUUUGACGAGGAUGAACUGGAAGCGGAGCUGGAAGAGUUGGAGGGAGCAGAGUUGGAAUCCCAACUACUGGAGCCUGUUGUAACUAUUCCUAUUCAUACGACGCCCGUCCCAGGCAAGGCGCAACCAACUCGCCCUGCUCCACAGAAAGCAUCGGCUGAGGAGGAUGAGCUUGCUGCACUGCAAGCUGAAAUGGCAUUGUGAUCAGGCCCCCAGUGAAUGAAGAGGUGAAAUGUACAAAUGAUUGGCUGGACGGUACGCUGUCGCAGGCGAGUCCUGGCUACACAUAUAUUUGCCCGUGUGUAUAAUCUUUGGUGGGAGACAUUUGGCGAACAGAGGCAGGAAAGGCUGCUCCAGUCCAGUGUUUAUCUAGUUGUUUGAUUGAAGGUCUGUUUCCCGGACAUAAUUUUUGGCACGGUCAGCUCCAUUCCAGGUCGUGUGCAAUGCUCAUUGUUGUGGCACACUAUUUACUGUUGACCCGUAUUAUCUCUUGCCAUGUAAACCAAGUUAUCUCAUUCCAGUGUUUGC